rnacentral:lncRNA from 1 species
GCCUUUUCAACUCAAUUAUUUGUCCAAUAUUAAAUCCAACACUAUUUCAUAUUCAAAUCAAGAAAACUCCAAAUUGAAUUAAAAUCAUCCUUCACAUAACAUCACAUAAUACAUCUGCCAGGUUUACAUAAUACAAUAACUCAUCUCAUGAAUACAUUUCCUUACAGAGGAUAGCAAGGACAGACAUAAUUUCACAAUAGAACAAUGGCACAUCUACUACUAUCCCGACAGUACAAUGGACUUCAUUCCACUCUCCUAUGAGACAUGCUCGAGAUGCGACAACUUGUCAUCCUACAAGAACAUUACACUGCACAUGAAUCAAUGAAAAGGAAAUAAAUAUAAAAAAUAUUAGAAAUAAAAAGAUUUGUGUUCAUUCUGAAGAUGAUGUUAAAAGAAAUGCGAACGAAAGUGAGAGAGACAUGCACUUAGUUUUUUUUGUGGGAGGAAGUUGUGCGUGCAUAGACACGGUACCACACCAUUCAAGAUAAUUAACAGAAACUGGGCAUAAACAUAGGCCAAGUUCAAAUCAAAAUAGGUUUGGGAUCACAUGAAUAUUUUGACACUAUGCACAACAAGUUAUUUAAGAUGCAGUCGUAAUUUGACACUAUGAUUUUGGUGAAGGGCUCCUUGUGGGUGAGGGCCCUGUACACAUCACACCCGCCUCCUUGUCACCUGUUCAUGGGCCAAUGAGCUGUAGAGUAUUGUGGCUUGUGGUCUAAUAUUAAUAUUGCACAAUACAAAAACUGUAAAGUAUUGUGGCUUGUUUCGGUCUAAUCAUGUUUUCCCAAUACAUGAUAUUCUUUUUAUCUGUAGUGGGAUUUCAUAGUUGAUGCCUUCCUCCCCUUGUUCUGUAGCUGUAUUUCAAAAAAUACUACUACUGUUUUCUAUGGGCCAAGAGUGACAUCUCUUUCUACAGAAUACACUGAUUGGUAGUAAAUAGAAUACUUGGCUUCUUUCCUUUGAUUUUGUUUGGGUUGGUAGAAUCUCAUGGGUCGUUAUACACGACCUACAAUAUUACAACCUAUUUUGCAAUAUUCAAACAUAUCAGUAUGUCACUGGCACAGUUCUGUGAAGCAAAUCUGUUUGCUGAAGUUUGCACUAUUUCAGUGGCCAACACUGGAUGCAACAUACUGAACAAGCAUUUAAUUUGAUGGUCUUUUAACUUUUUCUAGGUGUUUGUGUAGGCACUAGAUUUUCUCACUCACGGGGUAUCAUGCAUCGAGAUGUCAAGCCCCACAAUAUCAUGAUUGAUCAUGAGAAACGCUAGCUUCGUCUUAUUGAUUGGGGUCUCACUCGGUUCUAUCACCCCAGGAUGGAAUAUAAUGUUAGAAUUGCUUCAAGGUUAGUCCCACAAUCUCUGAAAGUUGGAUGCCAUUAGGCUUAUUCAGCUUCUUAGUAAGGGUAUUCUGUUCUAGUAUUUCUCAUCGGCAUUUUAAUCUUACACUCUAUAUGAAAUGACAUAUUUAAUUACGACCUGUUUGAACUGUAAAUAGAUAAAAUACUAGCAGAGUACCUGUGCUGCUGUGGACCUUAGAUAAAGAAACAAUGGAUGCACACUUUUCUUUUGCACUUCCCUAUGUCUCCACAUCAACUAUGUUAUACACAAUCACAUACUCCCUCCGUAAAAAAAUAUAAGAGCGUUUAGAUCGCUAAAGUGGUGAUCUAAAUGCUCCUAUAUUUGUUUACAGAGUACAUUCUAACACGGCAUGUGUUGGUAUGAAUAUUAAAUAGUAAUAUCUUAUUUGCAUAUUGUUGAUUUUGCGGGGGGCCAAUACAAUUGUGGUGUAUGCACUGCCUUGUAAACACGAGUGCUAACUUAUUAUGAUUCACCAAAGCUUGUUUGCACAAGGAAUGGUUUUAGUUACUUUCAAAAAAGAAGGGAUGGCUUUAGUUAGAUUUUCCUACUCAACCAAAGAGCUUGGCCCAAAUCACUACAGCAUAUUCUACUACUGAUGUUACAGUGAUUUUUUGUCAGCAGUUUUAGUUGAACAAUUUACUCUUGUUCCAAUGCGCUCAAGAGAUGGUUGUUCAACACAAUAAAUUUUCCCUGUCAUUUGCCCAGGAUUCCGUAUCUACUACUAAAUCACCCCCAAGCACCCCAAGAUUUUAAUAGUUUGAAACUUUAAAACAUCUUUUUAUACUGACAACUAUGGGACUCGAACUAGUACAAUGGUUCACGAGUGUUCUACUUGAGUAAUACUAGUCUUUGACGAAACAAAGUUGGAACCUACAAGAAUUUAUAUCAAGAUAAGAGCGUUUAGAAAGAAAUAAAUAUAUAUGUCAAUAAGUCAUGGUAUUGCUCUUUUUUUAUUAGAGACACACAGUAUAUGUUUCUAGUACUUACAUUCCUGAAACAUGCCUUAAAUAGUCAGAUGUUCAGUCUCUCUUUUAGGGUGAUGAAUUUAUAUCAAGAUGUUAAUUGGUUUUAGAUUUUCAGACGCCUACUGGAAUAGGGCAUAAUAUACGUUUUUUCUUAUCGGGCAUGUUUCAACUUAGGCAUUAUUAGCAAUAUAAAGUUUCUAUGAAGCUUAUAUUUUUCACUGGAAAUUCCCAACGAAGCAAUCAACUAAUGGUUUGAAUGAAUUUCUAUUGUUAUUGCAGGUACUCACUAAUAUAGAGUUGCAUCCAAAAAUAAACUAGCUAAAGCUUCGGUUCAGUUGAAAAAAUACAUGGUCGAUUAACAGCUGCUUACAUUGACACAUUCAAAAUAUCAGUCCGUGCAAUAGAUAUUGAAGGUGAAGAAUAAUAUUGCACGCCUCUCCUCCUCCUUGGCCAGCUUCCAGCCGUGGGGAGGGUACCUAUCACAGUUCACAACACACCAUCAAUCAACGCAUUGGAAGCAAGAUGAAAAUAUCCCGUCCUGCUAAACACAACAGAGAAGAUUAUCCCGCCAUUAAACAAAGCGAGCUUUUUGCAGGAAACAAACAUCAGCGAAGCGAGCUGUGCUUAUCUAAUGUCGGUCAAACUUUAAUUUAGAGCUGAGCAAAGAUAACUGUAGUUAACUACCUUGCGGUUGUACACCUGGGCAGGAACCAGAAGUCGCCGCACUCGAGCGCGCGGUACCACGCGUCCACCGUGUCGGCCGGCGGAGUGGGUGAAGACUGGGCGGCGGCGGCGUCAUCUUCCUUGAGCCAGCGGCGGCCGAUUCACGAGAAGGGCCACACGCACGUUGGCGAGUAACUGUAAUUAUGGUCAGUUAUCAGAAGAUAUCAAAGGACGACUGUAGUUAUGGUAGUGAUUUAUUGCUUGCAGUUGAUGCCUGAAGAACCCCGACACUGAACGUGUUCAUGACAAAUCGAUGUCGAACUAUUCGAGUGGCAUUUGUGCAGGAAAUCUCUACCACUGAAAGAUACAGAAUUCUGUUCUCUGCUUCCAAACAAGACCCAGUCAGAAUUAAUCAGGUUGUUGGAUUUCUUUGACAAAUAAACAGCCCAUGCUUGCCAACAGGACAUGAGAAAAAUCAUCAUCAGGUAGGAUAUCAUACAGAAAGAUAAUGUGCAAUCGACAUACUUCCAAACUAAGCUUUUAGUUUUCAUUCGUCAAUACCAAGUAUUCUGCCAUUCUUAUUUUACUCGUAUGAGUAAUAAACAAAACAGUACUAUACUACACAGAUAUGGUUGAACAAGUCAGAAUGAAGAUCCCUUGACUCUGCCAAAGCCCAAAGCCAGCCGUGCAUUGUCCAUGGACCUGCAGUGUUGUAACCUUAGCCACGAAGCGCCCAAUGGCAGGCAAUCUUUUGCAUUAGGGAUAUGCACAUGUGGCUUUUGCAUCUGCCUUUGUUACAGUUAUUUGCAUAAAUCGAGUUCAGUCGCAUCUGUAAACAUUGCCGUCAAUGCCACAAAUAAUAGCACUCGGAUUGUUUGGGAUGCGUAACGAAAAAAUCACGUGAAUCCUCAACACCACAGAUGAACAACAAAAAUUGACAGGGAAGCAAAAAACCGGAUUGAUAGGACCACCGGGCUCAAAUUAGUCAGAUAAUCACGUUGAACUUACCACAUAGCCUCGAGGAGUGGAAAGAGUGGAGGGCAGCGGAUGCGGAUCCAGAGCCUGGUCGCCGACGCAUCUGGAGAUGCAGAUCCGUCGCCGGCAGCCCACCGGCCCAUCAUCAGCCUCCUGGCCUCGUCGCCGGCGCAUCCGAUGAUGCGGAUCCAGAGCCUGGUCGCCACGGCCACGGGCUAGGGUUCCGGGCGCGCGGAGUGAAAUCUGUGGAGGUUGGACUCGGCGACUCGGGAGAGAAGGAGAGGAGAGGAGGAGAGGGCUGGGGGCGCCGGCAGUGGUUGCAUCAGCGACGUGUUCUCGUACUGGUUGGACUUGGACCUGCAGAAUCAAUGCCGCCGUCAACGCGCAACCAUGAAAUGAACGGCUAGAUCCGGCGAGAGGGAGGGGCUGCUAACCUCUUGAAGCCGAGGAUGCUGCGUCGGACGUAGAGCCUCAUGUGUUGCCCCGUGCGUCCCUUCACCAUGGAUGCCGCCGCCGGAGACGAGGGGCUCAGGGAUUGGUGAGGAGGUGGGGAUCGGGAGGGGGGCGGGGACGGGAAGGAGGUGGCGGCGGCGACCAGGAGAUGGGGACGAGGGAGGAAGGGUGGGAUGGGGGAUCUGAGCUACGGAAGGCUGCGGGUGGGGUUAUAUUUUUUUAGUUUUUUUCUAUAGAUAGAUGGAUGGAUGGAUGGACGCCAUGUCAUCGAUCCGUGGGAAGGGUUCUGAUUGGUUCAAAAAUUAGUGAUUUAAAAUAGUUUUCAAAUACUAAAAAUAAAGGAAUUUUUUGAAGCACCUAUCAGAAAUGUUUUUCAAAAGGGCACCACACAAAUUUUCACUAAAGUUAGACCACAUUUAACGGAUGAGGACCAAUUUGUAUGCAUUUCUGAGCUUUCUACCUAUUUUUAGUUAUUUUUCGAGUGGUAAAAUUUGGUUUUUUGUGAAGAACCUACCAAAUAUUUAUUGCAAAACUGAACUCCAAUAGAAUGGACCCACGAGUGACAUGUCAACAUAGUUAGAACAUGUUACGACAUUUAUAUAAUCGUCGUAAAAGUUAUGACGAUCUCAUCUUAUGCGGUUACGACGUUUUGUACUCACAUCAUCGUAAUUUAUAUGUAGAUUUGAUCCCCUCAAACAGCUUACGACAAUAUCAAAUGAAAUCAUCAUAGAUUUAUGACGAAUUCAUCAACGACAUCUUAAAGAACUUCAUGUAUGAGCAUAUUUCUUAUAGUGGAGCAGGCCAAUCGUUGAUGGUUACAAACAGCAACGCCUGUAGGUCAAAUUCCUCGUGUUCGUUCUCAUCCCACACACGUACACCAUUUCCAUUCCAUAGCUAUAAAAGUUCAUCAAUUAAUGGCCUUAGAUACACAUCAAUGUCAUUGCCGGGUUGCCUAGAGGCCUGGAUGAGCACUGGCAUCAUAAUGAACUUCCACUUCAUGCACAACCAAGGAGGAAGGUUAUACAUACAUAGAGUCACAGGCCAUGUGCUAUGCUUGCUGCUCUGCUCCCCAAAAGAAUUAACACCAUCCGCACUUAAACCAAACCAUACGUUCCUUGGGUCACGUUUAUUAAGUCAAACGCCAUCUUUCUCCACUGCGACCCGUCAGCGGGUGCUCUCAACUUCCCGUCUUUCUUACAGUCUUUUAUGUGCCAUUGCAUCAACUCGGCAUGCUUUUUGUUUCUGAACAGAUGUUUCAACCGUGAUAUUAUAGGAGCAUACCACAUCACCUUGGCAGGAACCAUCUUCCCGGUACGCUGGCCCUCAAAAUCACCAGGGUCAUCUCUUCUUAUCUUAUACCGCAAUGCGUCGCAUACCGGGCAUGCGUUCAAAUCCACGUACGCACCGCGGUAGAGGAUGCAGUCAUUAGGGCAUGCAUGUAUCUUCUGCACCACAAAUCCUAGAGGGCAUAGAACCUUCUUCGCUUUGUACGUAGUACCGGACAAUUCGUUAUCCUUUGGAAGCUUCUUCUUCAUUAAUUUCAGUAGCGAACUAAAUGCCUUGUCAGAUACACCAUUGUCUGCCUUCCAUUGCAGCAAUUCAAGUGUGGUACCGAGCUUUGUGUUGUCAUCUUCGCAAUUUGGAUACAACCGUUUUUUGUGAUCCUCUAACAUGCGAUCGUACUUCAACUUCUCCCUUUCACUAUGUGCAUCAACAAUGACCCGACGAAGAUCAUCAUCGGGCACAUCGUCUGGUUCCUCUUGAUCUUCAGCUUCCCCCAUUGCAGCAUCACCGUAUUCAGGGGCGGGUAGUUGUCAUCAUCUUCUUCUUCUACGUUGUCUUUCAUCAUAACCCCUCUUUCUCCGUGCUUGGUCCAAACAUUAUAGUGUGACAUAAAACCCUUCUGAAGCAGGUGGAAGUGAAGGGUUUUAUAGUCGGAGAAUUCCUUCGUAUUCCCACAGACAGUACAUGGACAAUUUAUAAAACCAUUAUGCUUGUUUGCCUUAGCCGCUUUGAGAAAAUUAUGCACGCCAUUAAUAUACUUAGAGGUGUGUCGGUCACUGUACAUCCAUUGACGGUUCAUCUGCGUGCGUUAUAUAAUAAAGUGUAUUAAAAACUACACAAAUCUUGAUGAAAAUGGAGCUUGAACAAGGAGCUUCUAAAUGAGAAAGCUUAAGUGUGGCUCGGGCAUUUCAUCGAACACCUCAUGUGAGAGGAGGUGAGCUAGAGCACCACAAAGCUCUCCCACAGCUGGCCGAAAAACAGAGCAGUGCACUGCUCUGCUCACGGGGGUAUAUAUAGGCCAACCGUUGGUCCCGGUUUUGUGGCUGAAACCUAGACUAAAGGACAACCUGAGGUCCCGGUUCCAGCCACAAACCGGGACUAGUGGUUGUGGGCCAGGAGCGAGGCACAUUGGUCCCGGUUCUUUUCAGGAACCGGGACCGAAGGUAACAAACGAACUGGGACAAAUGGCCCACGAGGCCCGGCCGGCGCCCUGGCCUCACGAACCGGGACCUAUGCCCACAUGGGUCUCGGUUCGUGAGUGAACCGGAACUAAUGGCAUUUCAUCAAAUGGAUCAAAGCCCUCUUUUCUACUAGUGAGGGCCUUCUCAAGUUUCCCAUGUAUGUAGCCACAUAGAUAUUUGUGUAUAUACUCUUAUUGCCGUUCCGCAGCCCGGGGAGGGUUUGCUAGCUCCGCUACGGUUAGCCCUUAACCCAACGCAUCAUCAGAUUGGAUGUGGAAUUUUUUUUUUUGAAAGAUCCGGCUAGAUGCUGGCAUGUAUUAAAACAUAGCAGGGAGAAGUGCGGUUACAAAAACAAGGGUGGUGCUGAUCGUAGGAUCAAGGAGAAAAAGACAGAGAACAAGGGAAAAAGAAACAGAAAACCGGACCCGAACAUAGGUUACAUGGUCGUUAAUUUCAUGGCGGGUCCCAGAAAGGGUGCUCCAAGAACGAUGCUCCCGCUUGUCUCCAAAGUUCGACGGUUCUUGUUAUUGCACUUUUCAUAUCUU